AUUGAACGCUGGCGGCAGGCCUAACACAUGCAAGUCGAGCGGCAGCAGGGAGCUUGCUCCUGGAUUCAGCGGCGGACGGGCGAGUAAUGCCUAGGAAUCUGCCUGGUUGUGGGGGAUAACGUCCGGAAACGGGCGCUCAUACCGCAUAAGUCCUGAGGGAGAAAGGGGGGGAUCUUCGGACCUCACGCUAUCAGAUGAGCCUAGGUCGGAUUAGCUAGUUGGUGGGGUAAAGGCCUACCAAGGCGACGAUCCGUAACUGGUCUGAGAGGAUGAUCAGUCACACUGGAACUGAGACACGGUCCAGACUCCUACGGGAGGCAGCAGUGGGGAAUAUUGGACAAUGGGCGAAAGCCUGAUCCAGCCAUGCCGCGUGUGUGAAGAAGGUCUUCGGAUUGUAAAGCACUUUUAUUGGGGAGGAAGAGCAGUAAGUUAAUACCUCGCUGUUUUGACGUUACCAACAGAAUAAGCACCGGCUAACUUCGUG
rnacentral:rRNA from 1 species